rnacentral:rRNA from 1 species
AUUGAACGCUGGCGGCAUGCUUUACACAUGCAAGUCGAACGGUAGAGGGGGCAACCCCUUGAGAGUGGCGAACGGGUGAGUAAUGCAUCGGAACGUGCCCAGUAGUGGGGGAUAGCCCGGCGAAAGCCGGAUUAAUACCGCAUACGACCUUAGGGUGAAAGCGGGGGAUCGCAAGACCUCGCGCUAUUGGAGCGGCCGAUGUCAGAUUAGGUAGUUGGUGGGGUAAAGGCCUACCAAGCCAACGAUCUGUAGCUGGUCUGAGAGGACGACCAGCCACACUGGGACUGAGACACGGCCCAGACUCCUAUGGGAGGCAGCAGUGGGGAAUUUUGGACAAUGGGCGCAAGCCUGAUCCAGCCAUGCCGCGUGCGGGAAGAAGGCCUUCGGGUUGUAAACCGCUUUUGUCAGGGAAGAAAUCUUCUGGGCUAAUACCCUGGGAGGAUGACGGUACCUGAAGAAUAAGCACCGGUUAACUACGUGCCAGCCGCCGCCGUAA